AGAGUUUGAUCCUGGCUCAGGACGAACGCUGGCGGCGUGCUUAACACAUGCAAGUGGAGCGACGAACCAGGGCUUGCCCUGGGGCAAAGCCGCGAACGGGUGAGUAACACGUGGGUAACCUGCCCCGAUAACCGGGACAACCCGAGGAAACUCGGGCUAAUACCGGAUGUGCUCGGGCGCCAUCAGGCGUGCGAGGAAAGGAAGCUUCGGCCUCCGUAUCGGGAUGGGCCCGCGGCCCAUUAGCUUGUUGGUGAGGUAACGGCUCACCAAGGCCGCGAUGGGUAGCUGGUCUGAGGGGACGAUCAGCCACACUGGGACUGAGACACGGCCCAGACUCCUACGGGAGGCAGCAGUGGGGAAUCUUGCGCAAUGCGCGAAAGCGUGACGCAGCAACGCCGCGUGGGGGAAGACGGCCUUCGGGUUGUAAACCCCUUUCAGUUGGGACGAAGCUCCGUCCGUUAAUAGCGGGCUGGAGUGACGGUACCUUCAGAAGAAGCCCUGGCUAACUACGUGCCAGCAGCGGCGGUAAUUC
rnacentral:rRNA from 1 species